GCAUUUGAGCUAAAGCAAGGGAAGCAUUUCCCCUUCCCCUGGCUGAAAGCUCAGCUGACCCCGAGGCUCUUCUGGUCAUGCUUAGGAUGUCACUAUCAAUCACGCUUCGACUGAGUACAGCCAAACCAGGAUACUCAGGGACUUGGAAUCUGUUACCAGACUUUUAUUUAGUACAGACACAGCGCCAGGGGGCUGAGCAUUCUUCAGCAACACCCUUUGGACCCCUUUCUACACCAUCAUGCUGUAUGAACAGAAGGGUUGGGGACAUG
rnacentral:lncRNA from 1 species